AAUUUUACGAAGAUGGUGGCGCUAUUGUUAGAUUCCUAAAAGACACGGUACUGUAUGAUUCAUGGAUAAAAUCAACAGGUCGAAGAAAUUGGACUCCAGGAAAAAACAAACGCAUUUGUUCUAAACAUUUCAAUACAAAUAGCAAAACUCAGACAUUCAUAAAUGCAUCUUCAGUUUCAAUGAUAAUAUCAGAAACAUGUACACGAAACUUAUUUUGUUCAAAGGACAGUAAAUGAACGUAAUUUCUGUA